rnacentral:rRNA from 1 species
GACAGAGGGGGCAAGCGUUGCUCGGAAUUACUGGGCGUAAAGGGCUCGUAGGCGGUAUGGCAAGUCGGUCGUGAAAUCCCUCGGCUCAACUGAGGAUCGUCGAUCGAUACUGCCGUUCUUGAGGAUUGCAGAGGAGACUGGAAUUCCCGGUGUAGCGGUGAAAUGUGUAGAGAUCGGGAGGAACACCGGUGGCGAAGGCGGGUCUCUGGGCAAUUCCUGACGCUGAGACGCGAAAGCUAGGGGAGCGAACGGG